rnacentral:rRNA from 1 species
AGGGGAGUGAAAAAGAACCUGAAACCGUGUACGUACAAGCAGUGGGAGCACGCUUAGGCGUGUGACUGCGUACCUUUUGUAUAAUGGGUCAGCGACUUAUAUUCUGUAGCAAGGUUAACCGAAUAGGGGAGCCGAAGGGAAACCGAGUCUUAACUGGGCGUUAAGUUGCAGGGUAUAGACCCGAAACCCGGUGAUCUAGCCAUGGGCAGGUUGAAGGUUGGGUAACACUAACUGGAGGACCGAACCGACUAAUGUUGAAAAAUUAGCGGAUGACUUGUGGCUGGGGGUGAAAGGCCAAUCAAACCGGGAGAUAGCUGGUUCUCCCCGAAAGCUAUUUAGGUAGCGCCUCGUGAAUUCAUCUCCGGGGGUAGAGCACUGUUUCGGCAAGGGGGUCAUCCCGACUUACCAACCCGAUGCAAACUGCGAAUACCGGAGAAUGUUAUCACGGGAGACACACGGCGGGUGCUAACGUCCGUCGUGAAGAGGGAAACAACCCAGACCGCCAGCUAAGGUCCCAAAGUCAUGGUUAAGUGGGAAACGAUGUGGGAAGGCCCAGACAGCCAGGAUGUUGGCUUAGAAGCAGCCAUCAUUUAAAGAAAGCGUAAUAGCUCACUGGUCGAGUCGGCCUGCGCGGAAGAUGUAACGGGGCUAAACCAUGCACCGAAGCUGCGGCAGCGACGCUGAUGCGUUGUUGGGUAGGGGAGCGUUC